GUGCAGGAUAAAUGGUAGAGGUGGGAGUGCAGGAUAAAUGGCAGGGGAGUGGGAGGUGCAGGAUAAAUGGCAGAGGGAGUGGAAGAGUGCAAGAUAAAUGGCAGAGGAGUGGGAGUGCAGGAUAAAUGGUAGAGGGAGUGCAGGAUAAAUGGCAGAGGGAGUGGGAGUGCAGGAUAAAUGGCAGAGGGAGUGGGAGUGCAAGAUAAAUGGUACAGGAAGUAGGAGUGCAGGAUAAAUGGUAGAGGGAGUGCAGGAUAAAUGGCAGAGGGAGUGUGAGUGCAGGAUAAAUGGCAGAGGGAGUGGGAGUGCAGGAUAAAUGGCAGAGGGAGUGGGAGUGCAGGAUAAAUGGUACAGGGAGUAGGAGUGCAGGAUAAAUGGUAGAGGGAGUGCAGGAUAAAUGGCAGAGGGAGUGGGAGUGCAGGAUAAAUGAUAGAGGGAGUGGGAGUGCAAGAUAAAUGGCAGAGGGAGUGGGAGUGCAAGAUAAAUGGCAGAGGGAGUGGGAGUGCAGGAUAAAUGGUACAGGGAGUAGGAGUGCAGGAUAAAUGGUAGAGGGAGUGGGAGUGCAGGAUAAAUGGCAGAGGGAGUUGGAGUGCAAGAUAAAUGGCAGAGGGAGUGGGAGUGCAGGAUAAAUGGUACAGGGAGUGGGAGUGCAGGAUAAAUGGCAGAGGGAGUGGGAGUGCAGGAUAAAUGGCAGAGGGAGUUGGAGUGCAAGAUAAAUGGCAGAGGGAGUGGGAGUGCAGGAUAAAUGGCAGAGGGAGUGCGAGUGAAACCUAU